GUCUAUGGCCAUGCCACCCUGAACAAGCCCGAUGUCUGAUCUCGGAAGCUAAGCGGGGUCAGGCCUGAUUAGUACUUGGAUGGGAGGCCACCUAGGAAGACCAGGUGCUGUAGGCA
rnacentral:rRNA from 1 species